GCUUGUUAAAGUUAAAUAAUUUUGGACUAAAUUUCUAUUGUUGUUUUAAUGUUUUCAAUACAGAAGUCACUAUUUUUCUAUAGUGUAAUAUACACUAUUGUUAUUGACCAAGAUAUGACAAGUAAGAUAGCAAUAAUAAUUUACGGCACACUAAUUUAACCAUAAUUAUCUAUUAUUAUAAUAUUAAUAAUAAUAGAUUCAAAACGGAUCUUUACUAUAUUAUUAAUAGCACAGUCUAUCAGUUUGUAAGACUAACUGUAAUACUGAAGAACGAAUUUCUUUAAAAAACCCAACCCUUCGCCUAGUAUUGUGAUUCUUAAAAUAAUCGAAUACUUCGAUAAUGUUAUCAUAAUCAUUGCUUACACAAAGUAAUCUUUUUGUUGAUAGAUACGAAUUAAAAGUUGUAGCAUAACAUCAUAAACUGUAUUGAAUUAAAUACUAAUUCGCCGCUGUAUUACAAUCACGCGUGAUUAAAAAUUCUUGUUCAUUAUUCAAUAACACUUAACAUAACCUUAGAAAACUGAAUUGAGUAUUAAAUUAACUGGACAUCUGUAUACAAACUUGCGUUGUUUAACGUUUUUGUAUAUUAAAUGUUUAAUAAUGUUAUAAAUAUAGUGAUUCAAUGUAACAUAUUAAUUAUUUUAUUUUUAUAUCGUUACAAUUAAUAAAUUAUAUUUGAAAUUUUAUUGAGAUCAUUUAAGGAAAAAAAUGUCAAAUAAUAGCCACAAGGAAAACUAUUUAUAUUGGAAAAUUAACGAAACAAAUUACUUAAGAAGAUAUUUACAUUUUUGGAUUUUCGGCUGUUGAAAGACAAAAUUACUAAGAAUUUAUACCUAAAUGAAUGAAAACCAAUAUUUUUCACUUUUUAGGAAAAUUAAUUUUGCUGUAGUGUGUUUUGUUACUUAAAAAUUUUAAUACCUGCCGUUGUAAGUAUCUGUACUUUUAAGUAUGCACUUGUAAUUAAGAUACUUUGAUAUCAUAAAAUUAAUAUCCUAAUUAUAUUAAGAAACAAAAAUGAUUUAAUCAUGAUUUUGCUAUUGUCAUGACUAUAUCAUGAAAAAGAGUCACAUAUCAAAUAAAUGCACAGUUCUCAAAAAAACUUAAUUACAAAUAUGAUGUCUAUUGGUUUUGUAUACAUGAUUCUAAGCAUAUAAAAUUAGUAAGCUUUAAUUUCUUCUAUCAAGUAUAAGAAUAUUGUGAGAUCAAUAUUAGAAUGAAUUGUUAUAUUGAAAUUACAGUAUUGUAGUUAAAUCUCUUGUAUGUUAAUUAUUCUUAUAGUAAUACUUUUACUUUAAAAAAUUAAAACUAUUGAUAAUUGUUAAAAUUGAACUUAAAGUAAGGUAAUGUUUUAGAGUAAUACAUGUAGUUAUUGGAAUACUUAUCUGAUUAAAUUCAAUUAGAAGGAGUAGUAAGAAAAAAAUUAGCUUAAAAUUUAAGGUAGGAAUAAUUGAUGUUUUAAAUACAAUGUGCAAGUACUUAAAACAACUAUAUUAAAAUUAUUAUUUUUAUACAUAUUAUUUCUACACAGUUACAUCAAUGGCUUGUUUAAAGAUUUGUGCUAUCAGUCAACAAAUAUUUUCAUUAUUUUUUGCUUACAACUGAGAAUGGUUUAUUUAUUACUACAGUAGAACCUUAAUGAGGCAUAAUACUUUCUGUUCCCUCGAAUCUUAUUUACUCAAAAAAAAAAAAAAAAAAUAUAGAUAAUACAAAGAAAUUAUUUGAAGUUUUAUAAUAAACUAUUAUUAUAGUUAUAAACUAUCAAUAAACAAAUUGUUUUAUAUUAUGUAAUUUCAUAAAAUUAAAAAAAAAAAAUGAUUGUGAGAUUGGCAAAAUGCUAUAAACUUUCAAUAAUAGAUUGCAAAAAAUAAAUAAAUCUAAUAGUAAUUGUUAAUUUUUUUAAUUAAAAUAGGGCAAUGUAAUAAAGUAAUAUUGUAGUUAUUAUAGGACUCUUUUUAUGAUGUAAUAUUAGAGGGAUUAGUAAGAAAAUAUCUUAAAAUUUAAGAUAUAUGUAAUUGUUAUUUUAUAUGUUACAUUCAAGUAUUACCAAUUGG